CAGUCGCCGCGGGAAUGCGUAGGUGGCAAGCGUUGUCCGGAAUUAUUGGGCGUAAAGGGCUCGCAGGCGGUUUCUUAAGUCUGAUGUGAAAGCCCCCGGCUCAACCGGGGAGGGUCAUUGGAAACUGGGAAACUUGAGUGCAGAAGAGGAGAGUGGAAUUCCACGUGUAGCGGUGAAAUGCGUAGAGAUGUGGAGGAACACCAGUGGCGAAGGCGACUCUCUGGUCUGUAACUGACGCUGAGGAGCGAAAGCGUGGGGAGUGAACAGGAUUAGAUACCCGCGUAGUCCCUGUCUCUUAUAC
rnacentral:rRNA from 1 species